rnacentral:rRNA from 1 species
UACAGAGGGUGCGAGCGUUAAUCGGAAUUACUGGGCGUAAAGCGCGCGUAGGCGGCUUUUCAAGUCGAUUGUGAAAUCCCCGGGCUCAACCCUGGGAACUGCAGUCGAGACUGUCUAGCUAGAGUAUGGGAGAGGGAAGUGGAAUUUCAGGUGUAGCGGUGAAAAUGCGUAGAUAUCUGGAAGGAACAUCAGUGGCGAAAGCGACUUCCUGGACCAAUACUGACGCUCAUGUGCGAAAGCGUGGGGAGCAAACAGG